rnacentral:rRNA from 1 species
GCUCAGGACGAACGCUGGCGGCGUGCUUAACACAUGCAAGUCGAACGAUGAAGCCCUUCGGGGUGGAUUAGUGGCGAACGGGUGAGUAACACGUGGGCAAUCUGCCCUUCACUCUGGGACAAGCCCUGGAAACGGGGUCUAAUACCGGAUAAUACUUUCCUCCUCCUGGAGGAAGGUUGAAAGCUCCGGCGGUGAAGGAUGAGCCCGCGGCCUAUCAGCUAGUUGGUGGGGUAAUGGCCUACCAAGGCGACGACGGGUAGCCGGCCUGAGAGGGCGACCGGCCACACUGGGACUGAGACACGGCCCAGACUCCUACGGGAGGCAGCAGUGGGGAAUAUUGCACAAUGGGCGAAAGCCUGAUGCAGCGACGCCGCGUGAGGGAUGACGGCCUUCGGGUUGUAAACCUCUUUCAGCAGGGAAGAAGCGAAAGUGACGGUACCUGCAGAAGAAGCGCCGGCUAACUACGUGCCAGCAGCCGCGGUAAUACGUAGGGCGCAAGCGUUGUCCGGAAUUAUUGGGCGUAAAGAGCUCGUAGGCGGCUUGUCACGUCGGUUGUGAAAGCCCGGGGCUUAACCCCGGGUCUGCAGUCGAUACGGGCAGGCUAGAGUGUGGUAGGGGAGAUCGGAAUUCCUGGUGUAGCGGUGAAAUGCGCAGAUAUCAGGAGGAACACCGGUGGCGAAGGCGGAUCUCUGGGCCAUUACUGACGCUGAGGAGCGAAAGCGUGGGGAGCGAACAGGAUUAGAUACCCUGGUAGUCCACGCCGUAAACGUUGGGAACUAGGUGUUGGCGACAUUCCACGUCGUCGGUGCCGCAGCU